GACGAACGCUGGCGGCGUGCCUACUACAUGCAAGUAGGACGCAGUUGUGAACGGGUGAGUAACGCGUAGGUAACUACCUAUUAGAGGGGGAUAACUAUUGGAAACGAUAGCUAAUACCGCAUACUAGACGAUGGACCUGCGUUGUAUUAGCUAGUAGGUAGGGUAAUGGCCUACCUAGGCAACGAUACAUCGUAGCACUGAUGGUGUUGUUGGCCAUGCUGGGUCGGAGAAACGGCCCAGACUCCUACGGGAGGCAGCAGUAGGGAAGCUGCGGCAAUUGGGGGAACACUGACCGAGCAACGCCGCGUGAGUGAAGAAGGUUUGCGGAUCGUAAAGCUCUGUUGUUAAGGAAGCGGUACUUAACCAGAAAGGGACGGCUAACUACGUGCCAGCCGCCGCGGUAAUAC
rnacentral:rRNA from 1 species